GUUUGGAAAGACCCACCACAGAAGGUAAUAGUCCUGUAUGUUAAACGAGAAGACUUCAGAUAUGAUCCAGAGUACCACGGGACACGUGAAACCCUGUGGGAAGCAGGAGGGACCACCCUCCAAGGCUAAAUACUACCUAGUGACCGAUAGCGUAUAGUACCGUGAGGGAAAGGUGAAAAGAACCCCGGGAGGGGAGUGAAAUAGAACCUGAAACCCUGCACUUACAAGCUGUGGAAGCACAUUUCUUGUGUGACCGCGUACUUUUUGUAGAACGGGCCAACGAGUUACGUUAAGUAGCAAGGUUAAGCACUUAAGGUGUGGAGCCGUAGCGAAAGCGAGUUUUAACUGAGCGUUCAGUUACUUGACGUAGACCCGAAACCGGGCGACCUACCCAUGAGCAGGAUGAAGCGAAAGUAAAAUUUCGUGGAGGUCCGAACCCACGAGCGUUGAAAAGCUCGGGGAUGACUUGUGGGUAGCGGUGAAAUUCCAAUCGAGCCCGGAGAUAGCUGGUUCUCCCCGAAAUAGCUUUAGGGCUAGCCUCAAGGUGAGAGAUACGGAGGUAGAGCACUGAAUGUCCUAGGGGGUAUUGCACCUACCGAAGACUAUCAAACUCCGAAUGCCGUCAUCUUAUACUUGGGAGUCAGACUGUGGGUGAUAAGAUUCAUAGUCGAAAGGGCAACAGCCCAGAUCGUCAGCUAAGGUCCCUAAAUGUAAGUUAAGUGGUAAAGGAUGUGGGAUUGCACAGACAACCAGGAUGUUGGCUUAGAAGCAGCCACUCAUUCAAAGAGUGCGUAAUAGCUCACUGGUCGAGUGAUCCUGCGCCGAAGAUUUCCGGGGCUAAAACUUACUACCGAAGCUACGGCAUCAGUAAUGAUGGGUAGGGGAGCUUCCCAUACGGGUUGAAGCAUGACCGUAAGGACAUGUGGACAGUAUGGGAGUGAGAAUGUUGGCAUGAGUAGCGAGAUGUGGGUGAGAAUCCCACAGGCCGUAAACCCAAGGUUUCCAGGGGAAGGUUCGUCCGCCCUGGGUUAGUCGGGACCUAAGCUGAGGCCGAAAGGCGUAGGUGAUGGACAACAGGUUGAUAUUCCUGUACUACCGAUAACCGUUUGAGAGAAGGGAUGACACAGUAGGAUAAGCUAAGCACACUGUUGGUUAUGUGUGCCCAAGCAUUGAGGCAGUCAAAGUAGGCAAAUCCGCUUUGAUAAUGCUGGGAUGUGAUGGGGAGCGAAAUUUAGUAGCGAAGUAGCUGAUUUCACACUGUCAAGAAAAGUCUCUAUCGAGGUUAAAGGUACCCGUACCGCAAACCGACACAGGUGGGUGAGGAGAGUAUCCUAAGGCCAGCGAGAGAACUGUUGUUAAGGAACUCGGCAAAAUGACCCCGUAACUUAGGGAUAAGGGGUGCCACCAUCAGGUGGCCGCAGAGAAUAGGCCCAAGCGACUGUUUACCAAAAACAUAGGUUUCUGCUAAGUCGCAAGACGAUGUAUAGGAGCUGACGCCUGCCCGGUGCUGGAAGGUUAAGGGGAUCUGUUAGAGCAAUCGAAGCAGUGAACUUAAGCCCCAGUAAACGGCGGCCGUAACUAUAACGGUCCUAAGGUAGCGAAAUUCCUUGUCGGGUAAGUUCCGACCCGCACGAAAGGCGUAACGAUUUGGGCACUGUCUCAACAACAGACUCGGUGAAAUUGUAAUUCCGGUGAAGAUGCCGGAUACCUGCGACAGGACGGAAAGACCCCAUGGAGCUUUACUGUAGCUUGACAUUGGGUCUUGGUACUACAUGUACAGGAUAGGUGGGAGGCUUUGAAACCAGGACGCCAGUUUUGGCGGAGCCAUCCUUGGGAUACCACCCUUGUAGUACUGGGACUCUAACCAUAGGCCAUGAAUCUGGUCUUGGGACACUGUCAGGUGGGCAGUUUGACUGGGGCGGUCGCCUCCCAAAAGGUAACGGAGGCGCUCAAAGGUUCUCUCAGUACGGUCGGAAAUCGUACGUAGAGUGUAAAGGCAAAAGAGAGCUUGAUUGCAAGACAUACAGGUCGAGCAAGGAUGAAAAUCGGACUUAGUGAUCCGGUGGUUCUGCGUGGAAGGGCCAUCGCUCAACGGAUAAAAGCUACCCUGGGGAUAACAGGCUUAUCUCCCCCAAGAGUCCACAUCGACGGGGAGGUUUGGCACCUCGAUGUCGGCUCAUCACAUCCUGGGGCUGUAGUAGGUCCCAAGGGUUGGGCUGUUCGCCCAUUAAAGUGGUACGCGAGCUGGGUUCAGAACGUCGUGAGACAGUUCGGUCCCUAUCCGUCGCAGGCGUAGGAAAUUUGAGAAGACCUGUCCUUAGUACGAGAGGACCGGGAUGGACGUACCUCUGGUGUACCAGUUGUUCUGCCAAGGGCAUGGCUGGGUAGCUAUGUACGGAAUGGAUAAGCGCUGAAAGCAUCUAAGCGCGAAGCCAACUUCAAGAUAAGAUUUCCCACCGCAAGGGUAAGACCCCAGAAAGACUAUCUGGUUGAUAGGUCGAAGGUGUAAGUGCAGCAAUGUAUUUAGCUUAUCGAUACUAAUAGGUCGAGGACUUGACCAA
rnacentral:rRNA from 1 species